GGGCUGAUAUUUUGUAUAACGGAAAUAGGAAUACGUUGUACUGUCCUUAUUUCCGGUUGUGAAUCCGUCGCAUGAGAAACGAGUGUUAGCCGUUUGGGCUUCCAGAGGGAGUGCAAGUCAAAAAACUGGGCUCGGUGGCUACAUGUGAUUGACUGAAAUGAAACCCACCCUACUGCAGGGCCACGAACGCUCCAUCACUCAGAUCAAGUACAACGGAGAAGAAGACCUGUUUUCCGUCGCUAAAGAUCCAAACACGUGGGUUUGAUUUCAGCGGCAACAUCAUGUUUUCCACAGACAAGCAGAUGGGCUGUCAGUGUUUCAUGAACUUGUUUGACCUGAGGGAUCCACAGAUCGUAUUCCGGAGAAGUCCUGGAGAAAGCUGAGGAGCACAGCAGGCACAUCAAUGACAUCCAGACCUCACCAUGUUCAUCAGUGCCUCAAAGGACAACACCGCCAAGGUUCUUCUACGCUGUGUACGAGGAGGGGUUUGGCAGGAGUCAAAGGUCAUUUUGGUUCCGUCAAUUGUGUGGCUUUCCACCCUGACGGCAAGAGGUAAAUGAGACCAACACAGCUUUUGAUUGUUCCAGAAAUAGUUACAUCG